AGCUUUGCGCAGUGGCAGUAUCGUAGCCAAUGAGAUUUAUCUGAGGCGUGAUUAUUGCUAAUUGAGAAAAUAAAGAAUACG
rnacentral:snRNA from 1 species